ensembl:lncRNA LINC02957 long intergenic non-protein coding RNA 2957
AUACUGUUCUCGUGGUAGUGAAUAAGUCUCAGGAGAUCUGGUGGUUUUAUAAGGGGAAACCUCUUUCACUUGGAUCUCAUUCUGCCUUGCCUGCCACCAUGUAAGAUGUCCCUUGCUCUUCCACCAUGAUUGUGAGGCCUCUCCAGCCAUGUGAAACUGUGUGCCUAUGAGGUGAACUGCCAUGUCUACACAUCCCAGUAUGAGUGAGUGCAGGUGGUGUGCACGCGCCCUGCGAUGGGAGUGUGUCCUAUUCAGGGCUGGUUCCCGCCUUGCGCCCUAAGCUUUGGAGAUAGGCUUCGGCCACCCUCAACCCUGAACUGGAAUAAGCAGAAAACCACAUCUGGUCAGGAGCCCAGUGUGUCCCACUUGGACAAGAAUAGAAAUCUCUCUUCUGGAAUAUGGUUUGUCACUCUCAGAUCUUCUCUGGUUGGAGCCAAUGGUUUCUUUCAGACCUGAGAUAUCCUGAUGAAGCAGACCACACCUGCCCUCAGAGAUGACCUCAUGAGGAAGCUGAGCUGCAUAACAAACAUCUCUGCUGCUCAGCCACCUCCACUCUUUUUCAACAGACCUUGGAGAUAGCACAGCACCCACACCAAAAAAUCAGGAAGCUCUCUUAUCAGCAAUCUUUCUGUACCUAUGAAAUCAGACAUUCCAGCCAUGGCAGAACCUCCUGAGUGGGCCAGAGCCUCAGAGUCAGGAAAAGCUGGGGCCUAAUGAUGUUUCAAAUCAAAUCACUCUGUAGGGGAUUUUCCAUUUAACAUAUUGUGAUUGUGCAGUAACAUUAGUCUUUGCCAUUUAAUUUAUUAAAUUUUAAAAUCUUAUAAUAUCCUCAA